rnacentral:rRNA from 1 species
AUGUCACCCAUUUCUCGGACAUGGCCGGUGUUUCCUGUAUUAGGCCUGCAUUUACUUCGAGUUAUCAGCAAAGCGUGCCAACAGAUCUGCUCCCAGCAAAGCCAAAAUCACAGAGUCAGCAAUACUCCAGGGCCCAAGGACAUGAACAAGUUCCCAGUAUUUAAUGAACAAUCUCGGAGCCAGCAUGAUGUUCUGUUCCGCAAUAUUGAUGGAUACUUACAGCACAGACGGAAUCAUCAUCUGGCAGUUGAUAUACCUGCUUUUUCUGAUAGCACUGUAAGUGGCAGUGUGGGAAUUUCUCAUCCGGAUCAGUUCACAAUAACGAAAUACCAGAAUGGCAGGUCGGGCAGCUCAGGUCUCUCAAGCACAUCUGCUGGGUUUCUGAUGAAUGGGAGCAGCAAAGAAUUACGGGAAGGCCAGUUGAAGCCCUGUUCCCACAAGGCAAGCACUGAGAGUUGUGAUCAGGUGAAGCGCCCUGGUGAUGUCAAGUUAUUUGGGAAAAUUCUGAGCCAUCAAUCAUCCUUGCAAAGUUCUGGCUCAUCAUCGAAUGUAACGAGAAGCAAGCCUCCCCCGCCAACGACAGCAGCAGGAUUGUUGGGCAGCGGAAUGGAUCGCAUGGUUUAUUCAUCUAGGCCCACAAAUACUGCCCACUUUGGGCAGGACGAGCGAGUGGUGAGGAGCUACACUCACCUGGAUGGGAGCACAGCACAGCCCGAGUCAUCUUUGUUCAGGGUGGCAAAAUGCCAGAGAUCAUCAAUGGCCAGCGUGCCAUUUUACUCGGCUAAAAAUGGCACACUGGGCGUAUUUGGAGAGUACCAACAGCCUUUGCGGCAGCAGCUUCCAUCAGAUCCGAAGCGGCUGGAAAGCUAUGCCGAUCUGCAGAAGAGGAACGGAAUAGAGCUCAUCUCAGGGUUCCUGCAGCAGCAGCCCGGGAAAGCCGCGCGGCUCGGGGGUGCUGGGAUCCUCGUGAGCCCCGUGUCGGACCCGGUGGCGGCCCUCAAGGCGCAGUACGGCUCGAGCUCGAAGUUCCUGGGCAAGGACGCCGACCACCCCUGGAAAGACAUAGGAAACAGGUAG